rnacentral:piRNA from 1 species
UCACCUACUGGCUGGGUGUCUUGACAGAGG